CAGUAGCCGCAGGAAUACAGAGGAUGCAAGCGUUAUCCGGAAUGAUUGGGCGUAAAGGGCUCGCAGGCGGUUUCUUAAGUCUGAUGUGAAAGCCCCCGGCUCAACCGGGGAGGGUCAUUGGAAACUGGGAAACUUGAGUGCAGAAGAGGAGAGUGGAAUUCCACGUGUAGCGGUGAAAUGCGUAGAGAUGUGGAGGAACACCAGUGGCGAAGGCGACUCUCUGGUCUGUAACUGACGCUGAGGAGCGAAUGCGUGGGGAGCGAACAGGAUUAGAUACCCCCGUAGUCCCUGUCUCUUAUAC
rnacentral:rRNA from 1 species